rnacentral:rRNA from 1 species
GACGAACGCUGGCGGCGUGCUUAACACAUGCAAGUCGAACGGAAAGGCCCUGCUUUUGUGGGGUGCUCGAGUGGCGAACGGGUGAGUAACAUGUGAGUAACCUGCCCUUUACUUGGGGAUAACUUCAGGAAACUGGUGCUAAUACCGGAUAGGUGCUCCUGCUGCAUGGUGGGGUUUGGAAAGUUUGGGAGGUUGGGGCUGGACUCGGGGCUUAUCAGCUGGUUGGUGGGGUAGUGGCUUACCAAGGCUUCGACUGGUGGCCGGCCUGAGAGGUUGACCGGCCACAUUGGGACUGAGAUACGGCCCAGACGCCUACGGGAGGCAGCAGUGGGGAGUAUUGCACAAUGGGGGGAAGCCUGAUGCAGCAAUGCCGCGUGCGGGAUGACGGCCUUCUGGUUGUAAAGCGCAUUCGCCUGUGACGAAGCGUGAGUGACGGUAAUGGGUAAAGAAGCACCGGCUAACUACGUG